rnacentral:piRNA from 1 species
UGUGGUCCUUUCCUGGCAGAUAUUAGCCUUU